ACAAAGAAAGCGAGAGAAAAACGCCGUCUUACUUUUUUUUUUUUCCUUUCCUCCUCCUUUUUUUGUUUUUUUCCUGCUUUUCUUUCCCUCUCCUCUCUCGUCCCGCAGCUUCACCCGCGGGACUCCAGCGAUUCUUUUUUUUUUUUUUUUUGUGGGGGUGGGGGGAUCCUGCAAAGCAACUUCAGGAGGUGCCGGGCGCUGCUCGGAGCUCACAGGAGACACCGGGGAGGGCUCGGCCGGCGGAGAAGAGAAGGAACAAAAGCCCCGGCGCUGCCCGAGCGGUGCUGAAUAGGAUGGAGCUCGAGGGCAGCUGGAAGAUCCCUGGAAUGCAGAGGACCCCUGGAAUGUGAAGACAUUUGGGUCUGAGGGAGCAGGGAGAGCCCUCAGAUUCCCGGAGGUGAAGAAGGGAUGGGUCCUUUGAAAUCCCUCGGCGUUUCACACCUCGUGCAUUCCAGCACUGGGGCUUUUCCCCUUUUCCCCCCCAGCCUUGUGAUCCUGGAGGAUUCUCAGCCCUGACCUAAGAACACUUCAGCGUUUUUGCUGAGAAAAGCCUGAAAACACCAACCCUAAAGGGUGAAAGCCACAAGAGAAAUAAAAACCUGAUAACAGGC